CUUGAUGAGUGAUGAGAGAGGCCAUCAAUCAAUGGUGAGCAGUGUGGUGUGAACCCUAAUAUAAUUGCGCCCAUACGUGCGUCCAAAACCUCCCCUGUUUCCCCCAUUUAUCCAUCUCCUCCUCCCCCCGCGUCUCCCUCGCAACCUCCAUUGACGCUCCUUCCUCUUCCUCCUCAUCUCUAACCGACCACCUUGAUCGAUCCACUCGCCUCUUCUUCCUCUCUUGAGCCGCUGCUGCGUGGCUGGCUAGGCAGAGGUGGCGUGCUAGAUGGUCGCCGAGGCGGUCGGGUUCAUGAUGUCCCGCGCGGCGGACGGCGGGGCCAUGGCGCCGGAGCUCGUCACCCGGGGCUUCCUCGGCGGCUGCCAGGCGCCCGCCGCCGACGACGACCCACGCUCUGUUUUCUCUCUUCGCGUGUUGGCUUUCGCUUCUUCCUCUUCCCUGCUCAAUUGGGAUUGGACCGGACCGUACGCACUCUAGUGGUUAAUUAAGACUUCCAAUUUGUCAGUCAAUGGCUCGAUUAGUCUCCUAGUGGAGUAAUAUCCAUCCGCGCCGAACUAGUUUGGUCAGCAAAUUUGACAGCGGAGCAGUAGUAAGUGGUUACCAUUUGUGGGCUUUGUCAUACAAGAGUGUGAGGUGAACUUUGAGCUUGAGGCUACGCGAUUCCCAUGUGCAGGAGCCUUUUCCGACUUGGUCUUUCUUUACCGUGGGAGGGAUAUGCAUGAAUUGUUGACCAAAAUAGACUACUCCUACUACGUAUUGUAAGCAUUUUUAUAUCUCGAGUAUCUGUCGUACAGUGAGUACUAGUAGUAGCAAUUGUUCUCUAUAGGUGGAGUAGAUUGUUCGUACGUAGUUAAUUCAUCUUCGUCUGUCUGCCAUGUUCCACCGGCAAGUUCAGAUCUUGCCCAAUAAUGUAGCCUCACUUAAAGUCUUCACGACAUGGCCAUUAAAAUCUCAACCAUGCAAGCAUUAAUCUUUUACUGACUGCGGUGAUUUCUUUGCGUGCCUGCCAAGGUUUCUAAUUUCGAAAACAAAAUAAUUUUGGAGCCUAUCGAAAUAUGCGAAAUUUCGGAAAUUUCGCUAUUUCGAAUUUUUCCUAUUUCAAAUUUAGCUUAAUUUUAUUAAAUUCUAAAAAACUUAAAUUCAUUUGAAAAACUGUUUGAAUCUGCAUCGAAAUUUUGGUGUUGAUAAUAUUUCAGCCCCCCACUAAAAUAUGCUAAAUUUCGGAAAUUUCACCGAAAUUUCGUUGAAAUUUUUAACCCUGCGUGCAGCCCGGCAACGGCAAGCCGCCCGUGCAGAAUCACCUGAGCCCACACCCGUUGGCCGGGGGGGGACCUCAAUCUCUUCCCCUCCUCCGACACCGCCUUGGCACCGUUGCCGACGAUGGCGCCGGCUGCGGACUGCGCCACCACGACCACGUACCACAGCGUGUGCACGAUCGAGAAGGUCAGGAUCGCGCUGGAACAGUUCGAGCGCGGCAAGCUGGGGCACCACCAGCAGCAACACGGCGGUGCAGGCGCGGGCGCCUCCCCGUCGUCAUCCGUCAAGCGCUGCAGCGAUGCCAGCGUCGUGGAGCAGGGCGACGGUUGCGACUCCCUGUCCGCCAGCGCCGGCGGCGGGGGCAUGGCACGGAAAAGUGAAUGGAACAAAAAAACUAAACAAAUCAGUGCACUGACAAUAAUCGACCCAAUAGUUACUAAGGUGUAAUUUUUCUUUUUUUGCCACCAUGAUAUCUCUAAGAAAAUGGUUUAUUCAAUGGCAAAGUGACUGUCUCCCGAAAAUAGAAAAAAAACGGAUUUGCUAUUUUAUAGUCGAGUGUUUUUCAAUUCGUUUUCACUCAAAUCUUUGUCCAUCCGUUCUCGCGCGGAGAUUCGCGCUAGCACAUCUGUUUUUCGGAUUGGUUUUCUUUGUCGGGCGCGGUUUUGUUUUUGUCCCAGCCCGUUACUGCCGCGCCGGCCCGGCACCGCCAGGUUUUCUUUGUCGGGCGCGGUGUAGUUUCCCCUUUUCAUCUGGGAGCAGAGAGCGAGAAGGAGGAACAGGCGCUCGUGGACGCGAUUUUGUCUGUUCAUGUCGAUUCCGAGUUUCCCCACCGCUCGAGCUUGAUUUCCCCUCCCUUUCUCUUCGAUCCACGGUUGCCGCGGUGCUUUGUGGUCCAGGAAAGGGAAAAGGAGCGUGGGCGACAGGUUCAAGAGGGUUUUGUGAUAGUUGCAUGGUUUUGUUUUGGUUAAGUUAGAACUGGGUCAGAUUUUUAGCUGCCCGAUCUAUUUUUUUAGAAAUGCAAACAUAAAAUUGUUGAUGGUAUUGGGAUAUACAGGUGUCAACAUUUAUUUAUGAUCUGCCCAUUACCAUCUCCCCCGUGUGUGUCGUUUCCUUUUCCUUUUCUUCCUUUUGACACUUUCCUCAUUUCAUUUGGGUGGUACGUACUAUUUCCAAAGGGCAGAGGGGCAGAGGAGGUGCUCGAGCGGCGGAGGAGUCGAGGCGAUUCCAUCGGGUUCCUGGCGUUUCCGAGAUCCCUCUCUACUGGAGCUUGUUUCCUCUUCGAUUCCCUGCCUUCCUGGUUAGUUCUUCUUGUCUCUCUAUCUUCUCGCGUGCGAUUUGCCAUGGUUGUGGUCGUGUAACUUCCAGAUCUAGGUCUGGGGAUUGUUUGUAGUAGUGUGUUUGUGGGUUUGUGUUCGAGAUUUUGUUGCUGUUUGAGUAUUUAGCGGUUGGUUCUGCUUCGUGGCUCGUGUAGUUUCAUGUGGAUCCCAUGUGCUCACGUCAGUUGUUAAUAUUUGUGGAUCCCGUGUGCUCGCGCUGCUAGGUUUUGGGUGUUCUCGUUUUGAUCCUCUCGUUGUAACCGCGGUUUGGUUACUCGUUUAUAAUUUUUUUCGAUUGAUGUGUUGGUCCUCUGGUAGGGUUAGAGUUUGUGUUUUUUCCCGAGAUAGGCGUGUCUCUGUGUUGAGUCUUCUUGCACAUCCCCUGCAGUUGCAGCUACCAUCUGGUAGGGUCAGGUUUUAGGUAGCAGUGCUAAUUUGGGGUUGUAAUUGUUUAGACCUAGGCGUGCACUAUAAUUGUCUAGCUUUGCUUUGUAAUUCAUGCCUUUUGACUGUAGUAGCUUUACUCUGUAAUUUUCCUCAGUUUUGCACUGUACUCUGCAAUAACCAUGGCAAUUAUAGUGUAGUCAUUCUGUACUUUUCAUUGUAAUUUCACCGAAAGUAGUCUGUAAGUAAGUACACUGUAAUUUCCCUCAAUGUACUCUGUAAUAUUCAUGGUAAUUACACUGUAAUUUCCCUCAAUGUACUCUGUAAUCCAUGGUAAUUACGCUGUAAUUUCCCUCAAUGUGCACUGUAAUAUCCAUGGCAAUUACACUCUAAUUUCCCUCUA